rnacentral:lncRNA from 1 species
CGUAGUCGGGAGCGUGUGGUGUUUGAGCCGCCUGAAACGCUAGUACGACAGAUUUACUUAAAGAUUCACUUAAUCACUUAAAGAUUCACGUCCCUUUUCUCUCAUUGAGAAUAACACCUAAGGCAUUUUGUGUCAGAGCUCUGGAGUUAGAUUUCUUUUCUUUUUUUUACUUUUUUAAAAAAUCUUUUUUCCUUUAAUUUCAUUUUUUCAUUUAUUUUUUAUAACUUUUGAUUUUUUUUUUUCUCAUCACUUGUGGGUUUUUUUCUACUUUUUAUUUUUGGUUAUUGUGGAGUUAGAUUUUCUUGAGUAUGAGUAUGAAUGCAGAAAGUCACUUAACUUCUCUAAAAGACUCAGUUUCUUCUAAAAAGUGAUAAUGAAACACUUCACCGAUGUGAUAACCUUAGAGCCAACUGGGGAAGAAGAGUAGGACGUCCCCAGGAGCACAAAAGUAGAAGGGAGAUUCUACUCUGCAGAGAAAAUGGGAUGCACAAACGCCUGGAGGCAUGAGACUUUAUCUGCUAAGGCUCUCCCAGUAGUUAGCAGUGGCUCCAGCUUGGAAGGGAGGAGUCAAGGUUUAAUUUAGAAGACAAGUCUAGGGAGAUAUAGAAAUAGCAGCUGUCAUCACAGUGCUUUACUUGAUCACGAGCCCUUUGUCCAGCCCGCAUCCCCUACCCCUUUGAGGGAGGCAGGCCCAAGCAGUACCUUGCAUAGAAAUGACUGCUUUCUAUACCAUAUGACCCCCAGCUGACAGGUGGCUGGACGAAGGGUCUGGCAACCUGCAAAGUGUCUGCAAACCUCUGCCCAAACUGAGAAAAUCAAGUCCAAUCAAUAUUCUCUCCUGCUUGAAAAUUGUUUCUGGGAAAAGCAAGAAUUGAAGCUGAAAAGAUGUGGAGAAUCUAUGAGCCAAAAUUAUAAAUACAUUGAAGCCUCUAGAAUGUAGAGUCAGACAUAUUCAGAGGUGCUCAUAGAGCCCAGGAGGUUCUUCCAGCUUUUGAUUCAAACUCAAGGAGUUACUUAAAAGCUGAAAUAUUAUUUUUAAUAAUACUUUAAAGGAACAGCAGCGCCCUGGCCGCUCAGCUUUGCGCGGGCUGCAGCAGGCAGGCAGGCAGGCACGGACACUCGCCCUUCCCUGCGGGUAAGAUUUCCAAGAGAAAGAUCAGCUCGGCAGAAGGGGCGGGGAAGAUCUGUGAGGUUGUCAGCUAAAUCUCCUCCAGCAAAGGUGGAAACGAAGCCCAGCGGAGGCAGCAGGACAGCAUAAAUUUUCAGACAAAGAAGCAAACAAGGAAAAAUGGGAGCAAAGGGCAAACAGGCCAAGUGGCUAUCCGGGAAACAAAAGAUUUAUCUGUGGAAAGCGGAGAAACUGAAACAAGGAGAGUCCAGCCUCUGGUGAAGCAGGACAGAAAGAAGCCAAAUCUGAUUAGUAUCACAUACCAUAUCUUGUCAGUGGUCCUUGUCUCCCUUCUUGUACGAUCCAGAGCUAGAGAGAGAGAGAAAAGGAAAGAAACAGACAGGGUGUCGCUCGGCCGAGGCUGGAGUCCAGUAGCACAAUCAUAGCUCUCUGCACCCUGGAACCCCUGGGCUCAAGCGAUUCACUUACCUCAGCCUCCCAGGUAGCUGGGACCACAGUCUCACUCUGCGCCCAGGCUGGAGUGCAGUGGCACGAUCUCGGCUCACUACAAACCUCCGCCGCUCCCACCCGCCACCAGGCUCAAGCGAUUUUCCUGCGUCAGCCUACCAAGUAGCUGGGAUUAUAGGCACCCACCACUGUGCCGGCUAAUUUUUGUAUUUUUAGUAGAGACGGGAUUUUGCCAUGUUGGCCAGGCUGGUCUCGAACUCCUGACCUCAGGUGAUCCGCCCACCUCAGCCUCCCAAAGUGCUGGGAUUACAGAUGUGAUCCACCGCGCUCAGCCUAAAAAAUAUUUUUAAUAAGACUGGUAAAGAGAAUUACUGGAGACUCAGUACAGUGAAGGAAAUUUGCAUGCUUUAUGUCCAUGUUUUUAUCUUGUAUAUGGUCUCUAUUUUUCCUCUUCCUUUCUCUCUCUCUCUCCCUUCCUCCUUCCCUCCCUCCCUCUUGCUUUUCCCCUUCCUCUUCCUCCUGCUCCUCCUCCUCCCCCUUCUUCUCCUUCUCCCUGUCCCCACUCUCUGUCUUCCAUACACCCUUCAGUACAGGUCUGUUUCUUGGAAGAAAUAAAAGAGGUUCUAGUAGCUGUGCUUGUUUGCAUCUCAGCUGUUUUUAUAGAAGUCUUUAGAACCAGCCACCUCUGUGCAGCUAGGCAUCUGUGACGCUGAAAAGGGAUAUGGACUUUAAGCAUUGCUUCCCCUGGCAAAGGGCCUUCAUUAAUCAAGGGUCAAGGGAUAAACAUUAUUAAUGAUGUGACAGCAUAUAUGGCUACUCCCUUCCUCCUCCACAACAAAAGGAUUCUGGCUUUGUUCGUUCUGUUUCUGUCAGUGCAAGGUCCUUUUGGAUUUAAAUGAUACAGAAUUGGGAAUAAAGGGGGACAGGAGGUUGAUGGGCUAUGACUAGUGGUGGUGAUGGUAUGUGUGUUGGGGGACAGAAGGGGGAGUUAGAGAGAAAUGUGUAAAAGCCACUGUGGCAUAUGAGGGAAAUAAAUGGGAUAGGAAAGGGGGAAUGGCAAAAUGUCAUUUUGGUGAUGCGUGUGAGCCAUGCCUCUCAGCAUUCACACCCUUAUGUAGUUCCUUCCCCGUGAAUCUGGACAGGCCUCAUGACCUGCUAUAACCAGUAAAAUGUGUAGGCAUUUACAGAACAGUAGGUAGUUCUGGGCUGAAGCCUUUAGAAUACCUGGCAGAUUUGUCUUUUGCACCCUGGUGAACCCAGAUACCAUGUAUGAAGACUGCCAUGCUGUGAAAGCCCAACAUAGCCACAUGAAGGAGCCCUAUUAUGGACUGAGUGUGUCUCCCCAAAAUUCAUAUGUUGAGAUUCUAACCCCCAAUGUGAUGAUAUUUGGAGAUGAGGCCUUUGGGAGGUGAUCAGAUUUAGGUAAAGUCAUGAGGGUGGCCCUCCUGAUGGAAUUAGUGCUUCUGUGAAAAGAAACAAGAGACAAAGGGACGCUAGAGAGCUCGCUCGCUCUCUCUCUCUCUCCCCCUCCCUCCCUCCCCAUCUCUCCCUCUCUCCCUCUCUCCCCACUCACACAAAGAGAUCAUGUGAACACAGAGUGAGAAGACAGCCACUUGCAACCCAAGAAGAGAUCCCUCCAGCCUCUAGAACUGUGAGAAAACUAAUUUCUGUCAUUUAAGCUACCUAGUCUAUGGUAUUAUCUGUUAUGACAGCCCAAGUCUGUUAUGGUAGCCCAAGUGGACUAAUACAAGCACUGAGCACCAACAGCCCCAACAGUAACCUGGAUGUCACCCAGCACCAACUUGGCAGCCACGCAAGUGAGGCUGUCUAGGGAGAAGAUCCUCCUUAGGAAGCUAUCUCAGCACUAGAAACAUUGAGCAGACUAGUAGUCUCCACCAAGCUCUGCACAAAUUGCAAAACUGUGAGCAAAGGAAUUGAGUGACUAUUUUGGUGGGGUUUAUUUGGUUUUGCUUUUGUUUUGAGAGAGGAUCUCACUCUGUCACCCAGGCUGGAGUGUAGUAGCGCUAUCUUAGCUCAUUGCAACCUCCACCUCCCGGGCUCAAGCCAUCCUUCCACCUCAGCCUCCCGAGGGGCUGGGACCAUAGGUGCACAC